AAAUGAGGGAGCUUAGCAGCCGGCUAAUGAUACGUGUCCCACUGUCAUGAGACAUUUUGCUUAGGUAUGCUACGUGGCCGGUCGGAGUACCCGCAGUUACUUUAACCGGAAAGUGUUCCAUGAGAAGGCCCAGCAAAACACCACAGGCCACCCAGGGCAGCAAACUGGAUACACCUAACGCCGCUGAAACUACCUAAGAAUGGCUGGUGUAGAGCCUAAAAGGGUGGAAACCAGCUGAAGAUUAGCACGAAGGCGGGGUGUCCCAGACUGUAAUGAUUCUCUCGCUAGACUACUGUAACUUCCUUCUCAUCAGGCUCUCUAAACAAGCUGCAGGACAUCCAGAAUGCUGCUGCUCAAGUCCUGACUAGAACCAGGAAAUAUGACCAUAUUAGUCCAGUAUUCAGGUUUCUGCACUGGCUUCCUGUUGCUCAGAGAAUAGACUUUAUAGAAUGGUUUUAACAGAGAAUUGGUCUUGUGCCAAAGUCCAUCUCUGACGUGUUAGAGCCACAUGAACCAUCUCGGGCUCUGAGAAGCUCAGGGAGUGCUCUCCUGCGGGUGGCCAGAGUCAGGACUACACAGCGAGCCUGCAUUUCAGUUCUAUGCUGCUAAAAUCUGAGGCCUUCCAGAAGCUGUGUGACAAUCCUCAACUUCGGCAAUGUUCAAAAAUCCAGGCUGAAAAAAACUUUGCAAAUGACAACUCACAGUAUUUUAUCUGCACUGUUAAUUCAUUUAUUUUGUUUUAUGAAAAUGGACUAGAUUUGUCAAUUACAAGAUUUUAUUAAGAGGGGUUGUGUGCUCUCUAAAUUGUUAGAGAUGCCAAUAUUUUUGUAGCAUGAUCUAUAAUUUUCUCCAUUAAAGUGUAUU